GCGCUAUUUACAGUUUUAUAAAAUUUGGGUCACAUUAUCUCCUUGCAAAAUGAAACAAAUUGCUGUUUUAAAAAAUAGGGGUCCAUGAACUCGUUUUCAAAUUAAAUCAGUUUGAAUGAUAAAAAUCAGUCGAAAAAUGCAUCUUUUCCCGAUAUGUCAUAGUUUGACGUCGCGAAAAUAACAUUUUACGUUAGCAACGUCAUUACCUUCCCUGUAACUGUAUCGUAUGCCCUUAAUA
rnacentral:lncRNA from 1 species